UCUCUCUGAAUCUGCGAACGGCUCCGCAAAACAGUUGUAAACUAUAGCAAGCACGCUUAUCAGGCCGCAAGGCGUGGUGGGCUAUAUGGAUAACCCUGGUAAUUCUGAGGCUAAUACAAGAACGUAACCCCUGUCUGACUGGGUAACUGGAAGGGCGGGGAGCGUGCAACACGGCGCAAAAGAGACUGGGAAUCGGUGCACGCUCAGACCACCAUACAAACGGUUGACCUGGGCUUCGGCUCGGGGCUUCUGGGUGGCUCUUGCAAUGUGCUUCUGACCUAUCAACUAGAUGGCAGCGUAAGGGACAUGCUAUGGUUACAACGGGUACAGAGGAUAAGGGUUCGAUCCUGGAGAGUGGGCCUGAGAGAUU
rnacentral:rRNA from 1 species